CCAAACUUGGUCAUUUAGAGGAAGUAAAAGUCGUAACAAGGUAACCGUAGGUGAACCUGCGGUUGGAUCAUUACUGAAUAAAAAAACUUUCAAAAAAGGUCUAAAGCUAGGGAAGUCUCCCUAGCCCUUUUUCUGAAAACCCUCCCCCUUUCUGUGAACCGUUAUUGUUUUCUUUGGCAAGCCCACCAAUUUUUUUUGAAGGGAUAAAGAAACCUCUAGGGUACUCUGGUACUUUGCAGGCUAAUUUUUCCCUGGGCUGUGUCAGCAUUUCUCUAAAACAACAUGCCUAUGUUAGUUAUAAAAUUUGUGUCACAAAAACAGUUUUUAAAUAAAUAAAAAAAACAACUUUUGACAACGGAUCUCUUGGCUCUCGCAUCGAUGAAGAACGCAGC
rnacentral:misc_RNA from 1 species